UCCUCUCUGUCGCGGUAAGAGUCGAAUUCAGCAUAUGCACAUACUUCGUCUCCUCAUUGCUCUGCAUUAAACCCUCAUAUAAGAAGUUACACAAGAUCAAAUAUCUUUGCUAAUGAAAGUCUGUACAGUUGGAACACGACACAAGCUCUCUGUAAGUACCAGACGCAGGAAACCAACCUUCCAAAUCAUAUUUUUUCGCAGCUGCAUCGUUCAAUGCUCCAGACACAAUCUCCACCACUCGAUGGAAAUUACCGCUUGGUAAAACUCUUCAGAGUUCUUCAUCAUCUCCUCAAGCAUCUCCCACGAUUUGUUCUCGUCAGGACUGGUGACG